GCAAACUUGGUCAUUUAGAGGAAGUAAAAGUCGUAACAAGGUUUCCGUAGGUGAACCUGCGGAAGGAUCAUUACUGUGUUCCCGUAGGGGCGCGUGGCGGUCACCGUAGAAAGCGGGCUGCCCCGCCCUGAAACCCACUACAAACCCACCGUGCACCUUUCGUGGCGGAGGGCGAGGUGCGAACCUCGUCCAAAGCCGCGGCCUCACAGACUCUUGUGUUUUGGAAAGUCUAGCGGACUCUGUGCCGCCCACAACAGUGACAACUUUCAACAACGGAUCUCUUGGCUCUCGCAUCGAUGAAGAACGCAGC
rnacentral:misc_RNA from 1 species